GACGAACGCUGGCGUCGUGCCUAAUACAUGCAAGUCGAGCGGACUUUCAAGAAGCUUGCUUUUUGAAAGUUAGCGGCGGACGGGUGAGUAACACGUGGGCAACCUGCCUGCAAGACGGGGAUAACUCCGGGAAACCGGGGCUAAUACCGGAUAAUAUCUUCCUUCGCAUGAAGGAAGGUUGAAAGGCGGCGCAAGCUGCCGCUUGCAGAUGGGCCCGCGGCGCAUUAGCUAGUUGGUGAGGUAACGGCUCACCAAGGCGACGAUGCGUAGCCGACCUGAGAGGGUGAUCGGCCACACUGGGACUGAGACACGGCCCAGACUCCUACGGGAGGCAGCAGUAGGGAAUCUUCCGCAAUGGACGAAAGUCUGACGGAGCAACGCCGCGUGAGCGAAGAAGGUCUUCGGAUCGUAAAGCUCUGUUGUCAGGGAAGAACAAUUACCGUUCGAACAGGGCGGUACCUUGACGGUACCUGACCAGAAAGCCACGGCUAACUACGUG
rnacentral:rRNA from 1 species